GCAACCAAACGCCACCAUCUCCUCCUCCACCACCACCACCACCAUCCAUAUCUAACUGCCCACCCCCACCAUCUCCUCCGACUUCAUCUGGUUCGUACUACUACUCUCCACCACCACCCUCCACUUACACCUACUCCUCUCCUCCACCACCCUCCACUUACACCUACUCCUCUCCUCCACCACCACCACAGGGUGGUGGCGGAGGAGGCGGCAGCAACUAUUACUAUCCUCCACCAAACUAUAACAACUACGCUGCACCUCCU
rnacentral:lncRNA from 1 species